AGUGAACGCUGGCGGUAGGCCUAACACAUGCAAGUCGAACGGCAGCACAGUAAGAGCUUGCUCUUACGGGUGGCGAGUGGCGGACGGGUGAGGAAUACAUCGGAAUCUACUUUUUCGUGGGGGAUAACGGAGGGAAACUUACGCUAAUACCGCAUACGACCUACGGGUGAAAGCAGGGGAUCUUCGGACCUUGCGCGAUUGAAUGAGCCGAUGUCGGAUUAGCUAGUUGGCGGGGUAAAGGCCCACCAAGGCGACGAUCCGUAGCUGGUCUGAGAGGAUGAUCAGCCACACUGGAACUGGGACACGGUCCAGACUCCUACGGGAGGCAGCAGUGGGGAAUAUUGGCCAAUGGGCGGAAGCCUGGUCCAGCCAUACCGCGUGGGUGAAGGAGGCCUUCCGGUUGUAAAGCCCUUUUGUUGGGAAAGAAAAGCAGCAGGUUAAUACCCCGCUGUUCUGACGGUACCCAAAGAAUAAGCACCGGCUAACUUCGUG
rnacentral:rRNA from 1 species